UAUCGGAUUGAUACUAAGCCAUGCGAGUCAUUGUAGCAAUACAAGGCAGACGGCUCAGUAACGCGUAGUCAAUCUACCCUAUGGACGGGAAUAACCUCGGGAAACUGAGAAUAAUGCCCGAUAGAACAUUAUGCCUGGAAUGGUUUAUGUUUCAAAUGAUUUAUCGCCAUAGGAUGGGACUGCGGCCUAUCAGUUUGUUGGUGAGGUAAUGGCCCACCAAGACUAUUACAGGUACGGGCUCUGAGAGGAGUGGCCCGGAGAUGGGUACUGAGACACGGACCCAGGCCCUAUGGGGCGCAGCAGGCGAGAAAACUUUGCAAUGUGCGAAAGCACGACAAGGUUAAUCCGAGUGGUUUCUGCUAAAGAAACCUUUUGUCAGUCCUAGAAACACUAACGAAUAAGGGGUGGGCAAGUUCUG
rnacentral:rRNA from 1 species